AUCCGAGAAGUGGUUCGGUGGUUGGCAGCAUCCCACGCUUGAAGCACCAGCUGUCUGUGGUUCACACAGUGGGUGUGCGCCGCACACGGCGCAGCCGCCAGUCAGCCACACGGGGACGAGGUGGUCGCUGCAGCUCUGAAAGUUAUCAAAGAUAGUGUCGAUCAACCUAUCGAUGUCUGCCCCCCGAGCCUCCAAGAGAGACUGCGGCACUUCUCUCUCCUGCCACAGGUGGCUCCUGAAGCUUGACCGCCCGCUGGGUAAUGUAUCGCAACACUUUGAGCAAGGAAUCUAUCGACGGAGGACUACUGUGCACCACACCUUCAGGAGAAAGUUAACUUGUUAAAAAAUUUCAGAAUAUUAUUAGCUUGUUUCAAAAUGUUCCUGCAUGCGUUGUACUCCGGCUGGAAGGCUGAUCAAUAAAAUGGCUUGAUGGGAACACUUGUUUCAUUUAAGUGCAAAGGCUUCCAGUUUCUCUACGGAGCCUCUUUUAGGUUUGGACUUAGUGUAAAAAAUGCAUACAAAUUUAUGCA